AAAAAAGACAAGUGGAACUUGGAAACUACUCAUCACAUUUCUAUUUUUCUAAUGACUUGCCGUUUUCCAGCUUCUUAGUUCUUGUAUACUCCUAAUGCAAGCACAAGACCAAUACCUUUGCUGAUUCAUCAUUUGAUAUCUGGCUGAGUUGCUUGCAGAGGCAAAAAUUGGCCCAUUCGUGCAGGUUCUUCCUUUCUGUACCAGGCUCUUAAACCAAGAUGUAUACAAGUCAUUUUUUGUCAUACCAUGAAGGUGUUUUAUGCCAUGUAAAAUCUUAUUCAAAGGAAUCACGUGCGCCGGUGUGCUUAGUGCGGGGGCAAUGAGCGAUGGUUGCAGGAGCAACGCGCGUAACACAAAUCUAAACAAUUUCAUUUAGCUUUAUUAUAUAUAUUUAUUUGCAUAUUUUGUUGACCUUGGUGAUGAUGGUGUACAUAUGGAUUUGAUUUAUCUUAAUACUUUUUGGAGCUACAAUGUUAUAUACAAUGAAUAUUAUUUUUUGU